rnacentral:snoRNA from 11 species
CUUCUGCGAUGAUGAAGUAUGAAAACAAUUCACAUGUCAGACUUCAGAGAUUUUUAAAAAUCUAUGAGAAGAAAAUUCAUAUUUUCUGAGCAGAAG